GACGAACGCUGGCGGCGUGCUUAACACAUGCAAGUCGAACGGAAAGGCCCUGCUUUUGUGGGGUGCUCGAGUGGCGAACGGGUGAGUAACACGUGAGUAACCUGCCCUUGACUUUGGGAUAACCUCAGGAAACUGGGGCUAAUACCGGAUAGGAGCUCCUGCUGCAUGGUGGGGGUUGGAAAGUUUCGGCGGUUGGGGAUGGACUCGCGGCUUAUCAGCUUGUGGGUGGGGUAGUGGCUUACCAAGGCUUUGACGGGUAGCCGGCCUGAGAGGGUGACCGGCCACAUUGGGACUGAGAUACGGCCCAGACUCCUACGGGAGGCAGCAGUGGGGAAUAUUGCACAAUGGGCGGAAGCCUGAUGCAGCAACGCCGCGUGCGGGAUGACGGCCUUCGGGUUGUAAACCGCUUUCGCCUGUGACGAAGCGUGAGUGACGGUAAUGGGUAAAGAAGCACCGGCUAACUACGUG
rnacentral:rRNA from 1 species